rnacentral:rRNA from 1 species
AACGUAGGUGGCAAGCGUUAUCCGGAAUUAUUGGGCGUAAAGAGCGUGUAGGCGGCCCGAUUAGUCCGCUGUGAAAGUCCAGGGCUCAACCCUGGAAUGCCGGUGGAUACUGUCGGGCUAGAGUCCGGAAGGGGCGAGUGGAAUUCCUGGUGUAGCGGUGAAAUGCGCAGAUAUCAGGAGGAACACCAAUGGCGAAGGCAGCUCGCUGGGACGUGACUGACGCUGAGACGCGAAAGCGUGGGGAGCAAACAGG